rnacentral:rRNA from 1 species
UGAGGAAUAUUGGUCAAUGGGCGAGAGCCUGAACCAGCCAAGUAGCGUGCAGGACGACGGCCCUAUGGGUUGUAAACUGCUUUUAUGUGGGGAUAAAGUGCGUGACGUGUCAUGCAUUGCAGGUACCACAUGAAUAAGGACCGGCUAAUUCCGUGCCAGCAGCCGCGGUAAUACGGAAGGUCCGGGCGUUAUCCGGAUUUAUUGGGUUUAAAGGGAGCGUAGGCUGUCUAUUAAGCGUGUUGUGAAAUUUACCGGCUCAACCGGUGGCUUGCAGCGCGAACUGGUCGACUUGAGUAUGCAGGAAGUAGGCGGAAUUCAUGGUGUAGCGGUGAAAUGCUUAGAUAUCAUGACGAACUCCGAUUGCGCAGGCAGCUUACUGUAGCACAACUGACGCUGAUGCUCGAAAGUGCGGGUAUCAAACAGG